ACAGGUGGUGCAUGGUUGUCGUCAGCUCGUGUCGUGAGAUGUUGGGUUAAGUCCCGCAACGAGCGCAACCCUUGAUCUUAGUUGCCAGCAUUUAGUUGGGCACUCUAAGGUGACUGCCGGUGACAAACCGGAGGAAGGUGGGGAUGACGUCAAAUCAUCAUGCCCCUUAUGACCUGGGCUACACACGUGCUACAAUGGACAGAACAAAGGGCUGCGAGACCGCAAGGUUUAGCCAAUCCCAUAAAUCUGUUCUCAGUUCGGAUCGCAGUCUGCAACUCGACUGCGUGAAGCUGGAAUCGCUA
rnacentral:rRNA from 1 species